AGCCCAUAGUGAUGGCACAUUCUCAAUAGAUCCUUAAAUCUCUCUCAUGCAUCAUACAAUGUCUCCAAAUCAAUUUGAGCAAAAGGAGAGAUAUCAUUCCUUAACUU
rfam:Gossypium hirsutum cultivar TM-1 chromosome 2, whole genome shotgun sequence